UGUGAGAUCAGUUUCAAGGCUCUCACAAGCGGCCCCAAACGGAUCAGUUUAGCCCCAAUGCAUUCUGAAUGGAUAAGGAUCCGUUCAGAAUGCAUCAGUUUGGCUCUGUUCCGCUUCCAUUCCGCUCUGAAGGUGGACACCAAACCGCCGCUGGCAGCGUUUUGGUGUACUUCUAAUGAAA